rnacentral:rRNA from 1 species
CCCAGUAGCGGCGAGCGAACGGGGAGGAGCCCAGAGCCUGAAUCAGUGUGUGUGUUAGUGGAAGCGUUUGGAAAGGCGCGCGAUACAGGGUGACAGCCCCGUACACAAAAAUGCACAUGCUGUGAGCUCGAUGAGUAGGGCGGGACACGUGGUAUCCUGUCUGAAUAUGGGGGGACCAUCCUCCAAGGCUAAAUACUCCUGACUGACCGAUAGUGAACCAGUACCGUGAGGGAAAGGCGAAAAGAACCCCGGCGAGGGGAGUGAAAAAGAACCUGAAACCGUGUACGUACAAGCAGUGGGAGCACAGAGCAAUCUGUGUGACUGCGUACCUUUUGUAUAAUGGGUCAGCGACUUAUAUUCUGUAGCAAGGUUAACCGAAUAGGGGAGCCGAAGGGAAACCGAGUCUUAACCGGGCGUUAAGUUGCAGGGUAUAGACCCGAAACCCGGUGAUCUAGCCAUGGGCAGGUUGAAGGUUGGGUAACACUAACUGGAGGACCGAACCGACUAAUGUUGAAAAAUUAGCGGAUGACUUGUGGCUGGGGGUGAAAGGCCAAUCAAACCGGGAGAUAGCUGGUUCUCCCCGAAAGCUAUUUAGGUAGCGCCUCGUGAAUUCAUCUCCGGGGGUAGAGCACUGUUUCGGCAAGGGGGUCAUCCCGACUUACCAACCCGAUGCAAACUGCGAAUACCGGAGAAUGUUAUCACGGGAGACACACGGCGGGUGCUAACGUCCGUCGUGAAGAGGGAAACAACCCAGACCGCCAGCUAAGGUCCCAAAGUCAUGGUUAAGUGGGAAACGAUGUGGGAAGGCCCAGACAGCCAGGAUGUUGGCUUAGAAGCAGCCAUCAUUUAAAGAAAGCGUAAUAGCUCACUGGUCGAGUCGGCCUGCGCGGAAGAUGUAACGGGGCUAAACCAUGCACCGAAGCUGCGGCAGCGACACUGUGUGUUGUUGGGUAGGGGAGCGU